AUCCGGCUGACGAGUCCCAAACAGGACGAAACGCGCGUCCUGGAU
rfam:Schistosoma haematobium scaffold411_1, whole genome shotgun sequence.